rnacentral:rRNA from 1 species
AUACGUAGGGGGCGAGCGUUGUCCGGAAUGAUUGGGCGUAAAGGGCGCGUAGGCGGCUUUGCAAGUCAGUAGUGGAAGUCCAUUUUUCAAGGAUGGAAGUGCUACAGAAACUGCGGAGCUUGAGUGCAGGAGAGGUUAUCGGAAUUCCCGGGGUAGCGGUGAAAUGCGUAGAGAUCGGGAGGAACACCAGUGGCGAAGGCGGGUAACUGGACUGCAACUGACGCUGAGGCGCGAAAGUGUGGGGAGCAAACAGGAUUAGAUACCCUGGUAGUCCACACUGUAAACGAUGAAUGCUAGGUGUAGGAGGUAUCGACCCCUUCUGUGCCGCAGUAAACACAGUAAGCAUUCCGCCUGGGGAGUACGGUCGCAAGAUUAAAACUCAAAUGAAUUGACGGGG